rnacentral:rRNA from 1 species
AGCGAACGCUGGCGGCAGGCUUAACACAUGCAAGUCGAACGCCCCGCAAGGGGAGUGGCAGACGGGUGAGUAACACGUGGGAACGUACCCUUUGGUUCGCAAUAACUUGGGGAAACUCAAGCUAAUACCGGAUAAGCCCUUAUGGGGAAAGGUUUACUGCCGAAGGAUCGGCCCGCGUCUGAUUAGCUAGUUGGUGAGGUAAUGGCUCACCAAGGCGACGAUCAGUAGCUGGUCUGAGAGGAUGAUCAGCCACACUGGGACUGAGACACGGCCCAGACUCCUACGGGAGGCAGCAGUGGGGAAUAUUGGACAAUGGGGGCAACCCUGAUCCAGCCAUGCCGCGUGAGUGAUGAAGGCCUUAGGGUUGUAAAGCUCUUCUACCCGGGACGAUAAUGACUGUACCGGGAGAAUAAGCCCCGGCUAACUUCGUGCCAGCCGCCGCCGUAA